UUUUGAGCUACGCUGCUUUCUAUGUGUGAAGCUACAGAAUCACAGCUCCGUUUCUUUACUCUGCAGUGGAAUGAGGACAGAGGAAGGACAGAGAGAGAAGAGAGGGAGGACAGAUGGAUGAGAGAGAGAAGACAGAGGGAGGAGACAGAGAGGACAAAGAGAGGACAGUGGGAGGAGAGAGUGCGAACAGCGAGAGGACAAAGAAAGGACAGAGAACAUAUAACUUCAGUGUCUCAGGUAAAUAUAAAGAUGUAAAUUAAAAAUGUAAACAAUAUUUAAUGUUCCUGUACAGAAACUGAAAAGAAUGUGAUGAUCGUUCUGAACCCCUUAGAUUAAGAUGGUCUUCACUGGUCCAAGAUAAUAAUCAGGGAUUACACAGAAAGAUAAUUACUGUUCUCAUGAUGAGCUGUCAGAGGUGAGUGCUGGUUAAUGACUGUCAGCUCACAUCAUGGCUGGAAUCAGCACAUUUAUAGACAGUCAGAAAGAGGAGGAACAUCAGAAACCAGACAUACACAUACGCACGUGCGCGCACACACACACACACGUUGUAAAUAUGGGUUAGUCUAGCCGGCUGUUUAACUGAGCUAAAUAUGCUAAGGUCUUCUAAAACAACCACAGCAACUUGCAUCAUCACUGCUGCUGCUGUUUUCACUGCCACAUCCUGCAAAUAAGUAAAUGACUCAACUUUUCUCAUUGUACACAAGCCUACAACUAAACAGAUUUCUUUAGUUAACAUGUAUGUUUUUCUAAUCUGACACAAUUUCCUGGAUGACAAACAGAUGGCUGCAUGGCUGCAUUAAAAAAAACUACUUCAGUCAGGACCACUUUGUAAGGAAGUUUAUUACAUUGCCAAUACACAACAAUAACAUGUGAGAUUAAGAUUUGGCGGUGUGGCUCUGUUCUGGAACCUCCCUCCCCUUCCACAUGCAUAUGUGGGCGGCCUGAAGCAGGGAGAGCUCUCCUCCUAGCCUGUCCAAGUGCCGACUUGGACAGCCUGAGGGAGGGAGGCAGCGCAAAAAAAAAACCCCAAAACAACCAUACCAGGCACUCGUACGCAUGUAUGAGUGGACCAUUAGCGAUGAGUGAUGACAACAGGCAGCCUGCACUCGAAAUGCAGAUAAUUCACUGCAUCUCAGAUAGUAUUCAAACCUUAAAAUAAAUUAAUGAGCUUUAGCAUGAUCUCACACAUUUAUUACAAUAAUUCAUAGGGCACCCUGCUUUUUGAGCUUCCAGAAUGUCUUCCAGACUGUAUAAAGAAUGGACAGAGUCUGCCUCCUCGCUGGGUGAAGCCACUCCGAGAACAGCACCCUCUGUUGAAGGGCUGCAGUAUAGGUCAUAAAUCCCGCCUCCGCCAGCAAAGCUUAUGGGCCUGUGGACAAACUUUAAAAAUUUAUUUCACAGAACAUAAAUUUUUCUCCGCCCUGCUUGCGAUGUUGACAUGUAGCUACAGUAAGACUGGUUUGUGCUCAAGUCCUCUUUUUUCUGUGAAGUUCCAUUUUUAAAAGUUAUUAGGGGGUUCAUGUUUUCUAUGAUUGACACCUGAUACAGCCUUUGAGCAUUCAGGGAUUGCGUAGCUCUACUGGGGGAUACGCUGUUUGAGCAAGGCGUCAUCACAGCGACUUUCGGCGACUGUGCGACUGAAUGCGCGUAUCGCUAAUGCGCAGCGCUGGUUUCAGGAAAUGAAGAAAAAUCCUGGAAAUACCGUGCGCUUUUUGGCUUCAAAUCGGUAUACUGGCGGGAGGCGGAACCAAGUUGUCCAUAGUAUAUACAGUCUAUGGUCUUUAGCCUCAGGAUGGAGGUAACGUUCAUAAGCCGAUGAGGACCAUCUGCCCAUUGACUUCAGCGUUGCCACAGAGGUUGAUGCAGCUGCCGUUGUCGCUGCACCGAUGCGCAGAGAAUGGGUGGUGUAGCGAUCAGAAGGUAAACCACAGGUCUGGCAGAGGAGGCGAAGGCAGGAGGCAAACCAGGCCUUGGACAUGGGCUUCCCCUUUUCAGUAGCAAACAGCGGUUCUUUUAGCAUGAGGGCGGCUUCUCAGGAAGCGAAUCAUGGAGGACGGAGGACAAAAGCAGAAUUAAUGGAGGAAAUAUAGAUUAAUAUUCCUUGCUUAUCCAUAUCAGUUUUGGAAUGCUUAAGAAGUAAGGUGAAGUAAUGAGGGUGCAGUGAUACAUCAGCAAUAUUGAGGUUGUGACAAGGGUUAAAGGAAACAUUGCUUGUAGUAAAUUCCCCGCCUCUGAGAAACCAUAGAACGCUGUGAGAAUGACAGUUUCUAACAACAAAUCUGUGUAAAGGCCAAAGCACCCAGCUCUUUAAUGAGAAAUUCAUUUGUGCACGAGAGGGAGAGUGAAAGGGAGACGAAUGUCUUUGCCUUGUGGUUUUUCUCUCUUAAGUCCAUUUAGCAGGAGGCGGAUCGAUGGGUUUUGGAGCAGGCUGAUGGUCGAUGGGUCCAGACAACGAAGGUGGAAUUGAAUACCUUUAUAGAUGAAGGCUGCAUCUUUUUUGAUUCAAAACAAUGGACCAUGAAUGCACAUAUCAUGUUGAUAUUAACAGGUGAAAGUGGUACGGAGAAAGUGGCAGAAAACAAAACGAAAAGGACCACGCUGCAUCAUACAUUUUUAAUGAUGAUUUAGCUAAUCCUGACCGCAUGUUAGUGAGUGGCGGAGCUCAUAUAGGACUGCAAGGUAGAACUUAAUCUAGCACUGUUUGAAUGAACAGGGGGCAGAUCAAGCUGGUCGGAGCGGCCUCCGGGCACAGCUGGUGAAAUUUCUGAAAUUUAAAUUGGGACAAAGAAUCGGCAAUGUGAUUAUCCAAACCUGGAAUGUGAACUGCUCUGAUAGUAAAAUUAUUCAUUACAGAGGUCCAUACCAGACGCCUUACUUAUCUGUCGAUAAAUGGGACUGACCAUAGACUGUAUAUAAGAUGGACACCGUGGUUCCGCCUUCCGCCUGUAUACAGAUUUGAAGCCAAAAAGCUCUCGGUAAUUCUGGGUUUUUCUCCACUUCCUUGAAACCAGAGCUGUGCAGUAGCGUUGUGCGCAUUCGGCCGCGCAGUCGCCGAGAGUCCCUGUGAUGACGCUCGGCUCAAACAGUGUAUUCCCCCGGAAGAGCUACGCAAUCCCUGAACGCCCAUAGGCUGUACCAGGUGUCAAUCAUAGAAAACAUGAACCCCCUAAUAACUUUUAAAAAUUGAGCUGUACAGAAAAAAAAGGACUUGGGCACAAACCAGUCUUACUGUAACUAUAUGUCAACAUCACAACCUGGGGGGAGAAAAAAUUUGUCCACAGUCCCAUAAGCUUUGCUGGCGGAGGCGGGAUUUAUGACCUGUACUGCAGCCCACCAUCAGAGGGUGCUGUUCUCGGAGUGGCUUCACCCAGCGAGGAGGCAGACUCUGUCCAUCUUAUAUACAGUCUAUGGGACUGAUGAGUGGCCCUUGUUAAUAACAUUGACAGCGGCUUCAUAAUCGCAGAAAAGAGAAUUUGUUUUCGUGACCAGCUUUCAUUUCACAACAGACAUGCAAUGACAAUAGGAUAUAUUUCCAUUAGGGCAGUGGAAGCUAUGUUAGCUGGCAAGGAGGUUAUUUCUUUUGGCCACACAUCAGCCAACCACUGAUUAUUGAAAAAAAAAUGAAAACCUACAGAAGUUGCAGCAUCUGUGUACAACUGAAGAGCAAAUGAAGAUUCAAAGUUCUCAUUGUAAAAGAAUGAAAUGCCAUUUCAUUUAUCGAGUAUUAGUGACCAGAAUCAAAGCUCCGAUCUGCAGCCAGCAUCCAGCUUUACUAAGUCAUUGACUGACUUAGAGAGGUCAAGGAGUCUGGAUACAAAAGAAAGCAAAGAAAGCAGCUCUCUUUUGAUAUGAAUACAGCAUCUAGAGCAUUCCUCAUUACCUUCCUGGUGCAAUUUAAUUUCUCAAGAGGCAGAGAGGCUUGCAUCAAGCAGCUAUCUAAGGUGAUACCCAGAAAUUCAAUGACAUGUUACGGACCUAACAUCUUCUCCUCUGAAAGAGGGAUACCCAGUCUGGCAACAGCACGCCUGAGGGCUGAAAUACAGCGAUCUAAGUUAGAGUGUGGAUAAUCGACCAGCAAAAAUCAUGCAGUAAGUGGAGCACGAAAGGCAGUCUACAAUUGUUGAGGAGGAUCCAGCAGAGAGCCUCUGAUAGAGUGUCAAAUAUUUUUGGUUGCUGCGACAACCAAAAGUGAGUCUAACUGCAAAAUACAUUUUUUCCCUCGACUUGACGCCAAAUAAGUGCCACUGAGACGGAUGCAAAGACAUUACUUUAAACGCAUCUGUAAUAUCCGCUUUGGCUCACCACGCAUUUCUGCCUUUUUUUUCCUGUGAAUUUGCGAGUAGCUACACCUAUAGGAUUAAUGCAAGUUAUAGGAAAAGGAGAUUUAACGUAUGGGCCGAUCAUGAAACCUUUUCUAACUUCUUUUGCCAGUAGUUCAUCCACUACCCCAGGCUCCUUUAAAGCAGAUUGCAGGUUGUUACAUACAAAAGACACUUUUGGAAGCCAAAUCAGUCCAUCUAGAAAACCUUGAACAAGACCUGUGAUCAAAUAAUUCACAAAACAGCAGUUUGGAUGGUUUUCCAAUGCUUUCCCCAGCUCAGAGAUGUUGACUGGGGUUGAUUGUCAGUGAAGUGGAAGCCGGUGCCGGGACCCAUCCCUGAGCUGAGGAGGUAGAUAGACCAGCCAAACUCGAGAAGAGGGUGCCUGCCGAAGAUGCAGCGUUUGCUUCCAGGGCCUGGAUUCUAGAGUUCAUGCUGUCGAUCGAUGACUGAAUGUCGGACAGAGCGGACAGGACAAGGUUGACCUUCGAGGUGGCAGGGGUGGAUGGAGGGGCGUGUGCCUGCUUAGCUGCAGGGACAGGAGUUGCAGCGGAAUCGUGAGAGGUGUUUUUUCUCUUCCUUGAACAUUUCCUGGGGGCAGAGGAUGACAGAACUGCAGGAGGAUGUUCGGAAUGGACAUUUGACAGAAAUAAUACACAGUAAUCUUCGUGGGAAGCUUCGAUUGGAGCGACAAUUUGAUUUUUAAAUAAGGCUUCCAGGAGCUUUGGCACUGGCCAAUCAUUGAUGCUGGAAGUCGGGAGAGUCUUGCCUGCUAAACGAGCGCUAUGCUGGGUGGCGAUGGGGCUACCUUCUCCAGAGGCUUCCUCAGCUUCGGAUCACUGGGACUGAGUCUCCCAAGAUGUAGUCAUCAUGCCAUGGAACGGCAUCACGGACAGGAGUCGACAUGAUGAGCAGCAAGGUGAGACGCAGCAUGAACAGCAAUUUAGGGUUUCUCAUUAGAUGGAUGUAAGUGCAAGCAGCAUGCAGAGGAAGCAGCAGAGGCAGGGAGGCUGAAGCAGAUUUAAAUAGAGCGCCCAAUAAGAUCAGCUGACCUGGUUGUGAUAUGUGGCAAUCGGAUGGAGUGAGCCUGCUCGGGAUAGCCCGCCCAUAUCAGCUGAUGAGCGAGAGCUGGGCAGAGCAGAAUGACUCCGUGGCCUGACUGAACUGCUUUAUUUUUUAAGACCUUUCUUCACAGGGGAUCAUUUUGAACUCUUCUAUCAUCAUUAUCGGUCUGUUAUUUUUAUUUCAUACUUGCAACUCUUUUCACAUUUGAGACCCAAACAGUAGAUCACAGCAUGCAUUAGUAAAUGUCUCCAGUAUACAGAGCGGAUCUGUGUUGUUAUAAAAGGCCGCUGUGUCUGUGUAUUUUCAGAGUGGCUGUCUAACACACUGUCUUUUUAAUCAAAGAGCGUUUCUGUUUGGGAAAUAAAUAGUUAUUUUAAUUAGCUGCUACAUAAACAACCAAGAUGACACUAAGUCAUUUUACAGGUUAAAGAGUGACAUAUUUAUGUCAUUUAAACAGUAACUCAGAUUUCAGGGUCAGUAAUGCCAUUGUAGUUGUGUUUAAAAAACCCUCCUGGAGGAUAAAACUCACAUUAGAUUGAACAUAUAAAUCCACAGCAAAGGUCAAAACAUCUGCGUUUUUUUCUGUCCUCUUUAUGAACAGAUGUCACUAAUGAUACCACAUCAUAGAGAAACCAUGAGGGACACUUACUCAAAGUUUACCACAUCAAAAUAAAACUUUUACAAACUUAAUAUGAUACACCAGGAGGAGGAUUUCUGUCUCUGUAGAAACCGAUAUCUGCGUGAAGAUCAGCUAACAAUCUGUUCUAGAUCAAACAUUUACACUGAGACACUAAUCUGACUAAUGCUCAGUCACUGAAGACAAUCAGAGUUUAGAUUUACAGACUUCCCUGAAUGUAUCAGAGAUGAUGGAGCUGACCUCCAUUCAACUAAGGAUGAAUAGAUGUCUGAAUGACUGAUGUUACAGUAACACAGAGACUCACCGCAGACAGAUGAAGAACACAUAGUUUCCUGUCAGUUCUGUUUGGAGGAAAAUAUCUAAUCAGCUGGUCACAUGGCAGAGACUCUGGGCAAACUGAGCAUGAGAAUAGGGAAGAAAUCAGAUUGAACAGCUGAUGGAGGAGGUCAGAGAAAACAUCCUGACUAUCUUCUGUGCUCACCAUUCAGCUAAGACUAACUGAGGCUACAGUUCAUACGAGUUCACCAAACUAGAAACAGCAGGUUGGAGAAAUGAUACCUCUUCUGCUUAGUCAGGAUUAAACAGUCUGAAAGCAUGGAUCCAUCCUGUCAGGCAGGUAGAGUAUCAGUGAAAGUCCUCAGCCAUAUUAUCACUGAGCAUCCUUUUAUGACAUCAGUAUGACAGUAAGCUCAUCAGAUCUCAGUCCGAGAGCACCUUUUGGGGAUCAAUGUAGUCACAUGAUGAAUCUGCAGUAACUGAAUGGUGCUUUCAGGUCAGCAUGGACUAGCAUCUCUGAGAAGUCUUUACUCCAUGACUCAGGAUGAGUCUGAAGGGGCUCCAGCCCACUGUUCUUUAAAGUGCCCCUAAUAAACCCAGAAUCAGUUAGAGGCACUGUGUUGAUGAAACCCACCUUUGUUGUUGGGUUUAUGGGUGUGAAUGUCUGGCCCUGUAAACUGGAUCAAAGUGACAGACCAGAAUGAAGACUCUGGGGGAAAUCCUGUCUGUCUUCCCUUUGUCCUGCUGUGAUCUCCCGUUCUGCAGAUGAAGUGUCCUCCUGCAGACGGCGUUGGUAAACUUGCACACUGGCAACUCCUUUUCCUCACAGAGACUCACAAUAGGUGUAAUGAGGCAUCAGGAUGAAGUAGUUUGUUGUCUGGUGUAAACAGAUGGAUGUAGGCUGUGAUUAAAACCAAUUAACUCCCCCCCAGAUCUAAAUAACUUUCUGUCAUUAAUGCACAUAUUUUACACCUCAUUAGAGGCCUGUGAUUGGAGGUGGAAAAAUACCACACAAGAAAGGAGAGGAAGGAGAGGGACUCAUUUGCAUUUUAGAUUCACAAUAUGCUGAGGACGAGGGGGGGGGGGGGCUGAGUGGCUGAAAACACUCGAGGCCACAUCUGUGUGAGCUAAAAGAGCUUCAGGAAGCGACACAUGACUUCCUCUAAUUAGUUGUAAGCUUUUCAUUUUUUUGGUAGUAAUGUGGACAGUCACACAACCCAUUCCUCCCUGUCGCCUCCCCCCUCCUCCUCCCCUGGUGCUGAAAUGUGCAUCGUGGGGUGAAACAGGCAAGAUGUUAACUAAUUUUAUUUUUAAUCUUUCCUUUUGCCGCCGAGCGUGUCGUGCGGGCACUGUGUCUUCUGAAAUUUCCUCGCCUCUUUCAUGGAAACAUAUUGGGGCAGAAUUCGCCAGCUGUCGGCCUCCUCUCCCUUCUGCUGCCAUUAUCCUCAAGCCCCGCCCACCCUUAUGUCCGCCCAGCCUGCCAGAGAGUGCCGCCCGCUUCAAAAUCAAAAGGUGGCUCUUUUCAAUCCAGGCCACUGUCACAAACAUCCCCAAAACCUGAACCACCACCCUGCCCCACCACACCCCCUCCACCACCCGUGCAUACAACCUUCACUAACAUGUCCUCCAUGUUUGCUUCCACACUGUAUAUCAUACCCAGCACACAGCUUUGGCUCUGGAGUACGUGAUAGUGCCAGGCGUGUGACCAUAUGCCACCCCUUCACCCCCCGCCCCCUUUGCAACCUUACCUCCCUUAUCUGAUUCUCAACAUAUCUGUCCAUCCAUCAGGACACCAUCACACCACAAGAAGAGGAUUCACAGGUUCAACAGCCUCCAGCUUCACUUCUUCCCUGCCUCUGGUCUGUUUACAUCCACAGAAAUCUGGGCUACCCCCUGAACAGGACUUGUGACCUGUGUACCUGGAAAUGCAUAGCCCCGAAUUUAAAUAAAUGAAAGUCUUUUUUAUCUUAUAAGAGGUGUUGGGUAAAUUAGAUAAAGAUCUAAGUUGAAGAAAAAAAUUAAAUACUUUUUUUUUAAUAAGUUUAACAUAGAAAUGUUUUAUUUAGAAAAAAAAAGUGGGAAAAAAAACAGUUUUAUUAAAAAAUAAGCUUUAUAAAAAAAGUUUGAUAGGAAAGAAGUUUCAUAAAGAAAGAAGUUUUAUGAUAAAAUAAGUUUAAUAAAAAAAUUGUAAGUUUGAUGAAUAAAAUAAAUUUGAUAAAUACAUGUUUUUUUUAUUCACUUUUUUCUUGAAUUUCUUCAGUUUUUUUUAUAAUGAGGAGAAAUUUCACAGAAAACAUGACUCAUGAAAUCAUCUUUCAAAUCUGCUGUGUAAAUAGUAGGCACCCCUGUCCUGUCUGCAUGUUUGCCUUGCUCUUAAAGGGAAUGGGAGAUCAUCUUACACCAAAAAAACAUGCCUUAAAACAUAAGACCUCUUUGCUCCCUGCCCCUCACUCCAGACUCAGACCAGUGCUGCAGUAAAAUAAUAGGACUCUGUCAGUGCAUGAAUGAUAUUGCAAAGUCAGGCCAUAUUUGGGAUCAUGAAGCAGAAAGGAUCAUCUUACGAUGUGACUCCUCUCAGCACCCAGAACUCUGAAUUUGACUGAACCUGCAGCUGAUUUUAUCCACAUGCACACGUUUAGUUUUUUAGAUUCUUCCCCUCAGAGUCAUUUUCCAUGAACUUGGUUUCUGGCUCGUGGAAGGCUCUUCUCUUUGUUGCACUGAUACUUUUCAGCUCAGAUCAGUCCCUGGUUUCAAAUCCUGUGUUGGUUUUUUUCUCCUUUAUUCAUGCAUUAUGGUCCUUAUUACACUGGUAUAUGUGCAGUGCCGUACUUUUAUUAAUAUCCCCCACAAUAAGCGUGUGAUCUCCUGAGCAGCUUGUCCUCCGGAUUAUGUCUGGCUGAGCGACUCCGUUGACCCUAAGGCUCUGUGUCAGAUGCUGCUUAAGGACCUGGGGGCUGAGGGGGGCUGGGGAGGCCUCCCUGAUGUCCUCUAAUGGGGUCCAGCCUCCACAGAGCUCUCACACAUCUGCAUGCAAUGAUACCUCUCCUCACAGUCAGGCCUGUUGGAUCUGAGAGCCUGUCAUACUGAGAGAAAGACUGAGAGUCAUUGAAGGACAGGAGGGUCUGUGCUCUUCUAGAGGAGGAAAGAGGAUAGAGGAUAUCUCUCUAGAAAUCAACAUACAGUGGCACAAGGAGCUGGUUUCUCUGUUAGUCCAGGAACUGUGCUGACGUCCCAACAGAACCAGUACGGAGAAAGUAUGGAGAACACCCUGGUUCUGUUGUCUGUAUUUGAAGUACAGUGGUACAUUUAUGACAGAAAUAUGGGAGUGUUUGCUGGUACAGAUCUUUUUCUGGUUUGUGGAUGUUUGCAGAAUCCUGACUCUUUCUUUGAGCCUUUUACAGUGUUCUGAUCCACAAAUAUGGUGAUAUGUCCAUUCACCCCUUAGCCGCCUGGUCCACCUUAAACGAACCCGGGUCUGUUCCCCUGAUGGUCAGGUUCCCCUGAUGGUCAUGUUCUUUGGGCAUGCUAUGAAAUCUCAGACUUCAGUGUGGUUUGUUUGAGGUGUAAAAGUAAAGCUGGACCUGAAACUGUACCUUCAAAAAGGUUCUGAUUUUCACUGUUGAUCCUAGAGACCCUGAUAAUCUGGUUCUCUUAGAACAAUUGCUUUUGUACUGUCAAUCAUUAGAUCCUCUCAUCACAGUUAGACAGCUUUGUCAGCAGUAAGGGAAAGGGUCUCAGGUGGUCUUAGUCCAACCUGACAGAUAGAACCUUCUCUAUCUGUAGGAUUAUUUCUCUUAGACUUGUGGUAUCCCAUGAGAGGUGUUGCCACAGUUACUUCAAAAAAGUAUUUUGAUUACUGAUUAUGGAUUACUUCUUUAAAAGUAACUUAGUCACUUUACUGAUGACUUGAUUUUAAAAAGUAAGUUAGAUAAGUUACUUUUUAAGGUACACCCAGAAGCCUCAACAUAUAAUUGACAACAAUUUUCUUUCCAACACUCACUUUAUUGGAAGUGUAAUUUUAACAGGAAUGUCAAAAAAUACAUAUCUUUAAAUAAUUAAAUAAAUAAAUAAAUAGAUAAAGAUAGUCUUUCUUAACUGACAAAACAUCAAGAUUUUGAUUUACUAAAACAUGAUUUUGAUUUACUAAAGUUAAUGAAAGUGAGUGAAUAUGCUCUAACAUUUUAACCUACAUUAACUUUUGUGUAGAUAUAUUUUUGGAUGUGGAUGAAUUUAGGAUCACUCAAGUAAGUGAAUAUUUGAAUCAUGAGGUUUGUAUACUUAAGUGAGGCUGGUCCUUGAAGAGGAUGGGACAGGUUCACCGAAGGUUCGGGUUACCAGUGGUUUGAGAGGUUUGGCUCAGCAGAGGACUGGAGUCAGCCAAGAGAUGGGUCAGGAGUCACAGCACUCGGGCCUAAAUGCAAAAAACAGCACCUUGUGAAUCCUAUGGACGCUAUUUUGGUCUCACCAUAAAACUCUGGCACAGAGGAUGACUUUGGGCCCGCUGUGUGGCGUUCAGAGGUGACAUUGGAAUCAGGCUGAGAACUAAGAAAAAGAGGCUUGAUAGCCAGUCAAUACUAUUUCAAAACAGUUGAAGUUUCAAAACUUUAAGACGAUGUUAAAGAAAAAUUUAAUCAAUGUAAAUGAACACGUGGCAGAAAACUUAGAAGACUAAGAGAAAAAAUAAAACUAAGUAGUAGGAGUAACAGCUAAGAGGGAAAUAAGAGGAUCAGAGAAUAAAACACAGAAAAGAGUGAGCACCCCAGCUUUACUGGUUUUAUCUCCUUCACACUGGGAGUGUCUCUGAGGUGUGUGCGUGUGAGGAGAGAGAGGAGGGGUUAUUGAGCCUCCUGCUGCAGCUCCUUGAGGGGAGACCUUCAAGAUCUCUGAUUAUUUGAUCUAACUUAUACCUUUGACUGGUAAAGGAGUCAGAUCUGAUUCUCACUCACUAUGAUUAAUAUCAUUGAAUGCUUGGUUUCAUGAUAAAUGAUUUGAUACUAAACACAUAUGAAGAAAUAUAGAAUCACAUCAAACAUUCUCAUUAUGAUUUAAGUAUCACGUUGAACAUAUUCAAUUACUCUGAAGUGAAACAGGUAGUAACAAAUAGAAACUGUAAGUACAUGCAAAUGAACUUCAUCAAGAUUCACAAGUUCGAUCCAAGAUGGCGCCAGGAGUAGGUGCCCUGGUGUUUUGGUGCUCAUUGUUUUGUCUGUUUUUGUGCGUUGACUGUGUGUCAUCGUGCUCCUACACCCGUGUGGAGCUUCUAAACAUUAGAUCAACUACACCCACAGACAUUAUGCCAGUUUUUUUAGCAUCUGCUGCUGAACUGGUCCACUUUUUGGCCAAAAGAGUGAGACGCCGGCGAAGGGGAGAGUGAGCUGGGGUGCUCGCGCAUCUCAGACAGCGAGGCACGCGUACGCCCUUACCUGGGAUUUUCCUCUCCAACGUCUGCUCACUCAGCAACAAGAUGGAUGAGCUAGCACUGCUGAUGAAGAGGAAUAGAGACUUCUCCUCAUCUUGUGUUCUGUGCUUCACGGAGACGUGGUUAAAUGCACAGACACCGGAAUGCGCCAUACAACUUGAGGGUUUUCAGCUCCUCCGCGCAGACAGAGAUCGUGUACUCUCAGUUGGAAAAACAAAAGGUGGAGGAGUCUGCUUCUACAUCAACAACGCCUGGUGCUCCGAUGUGACAGUGAUCUCCCAACACUGUUCUCCUUCUCUGGAAUAUCUCUUCAUAAACUGCAAACUGCUCUACUCUCCAUGUGAGUUUGUCUCAUUCAUACUCUGCUCUGUUUACACUCCACCGAGUGCGGAUGUGCACGAGGCCGAGCGCGCGCCUGCGGAGCAGGUUAUGAGCUUAGAGAGGAAUUUUCCGGACUCCUUAGUUAUAAUCCUUGGUGACUUUAACGAAGGAAAUCUCAGUCAGGAACUACCAAAAUACACAAAUUCAUUUCUGUGAAGACAGCAUCAUCCCACAACAUACCAGGGUGAAAUACAACAAUGACAAGCCCUGGUUUACAUCAAAAUGCACAACGCACGUCUGGAGCAAAGAUUCUCUGCCAACGACCCUGCCUUGGUGUGGAGGGGGUUGAAAGAGAUUACAAACUACAAGCCCAAAGCACCUCGUUCAACUGACGACUUGAAACUAGCCAACGACCUGAACGACUUCUAUUCACGCUUCAAAGUCAUGGACUCACAUCCCCUCAACCCCCUACACAACUGGAAAUCUAACCACUUUUGGCCUCCCCCCUCCCCCCGCUGCCCUCUCGGUCCAUGAAGAGGAAGUAAACAGACUGUUUAAAAGGCUGAGUCCACAAAAGGCUGGUGGCCCAGACGAUGUCUCUCCUGCCACUCUGAGACACUGCACUGAUGAGCUAGCUCCAGUCUUCACGGGGAUCUUCAACACCUCCCUUGAGUCAUGCCAUGUUCCAGCCUGUUUCUAGUCCUCCAUCAAUGUUGCCAUCCCCAAGAAACCUUGCAUAACUGGACUCAAUGACUACAGACCAGUGGCUCUUACGUCUGUAGUCAUGAAGACCUUUGAACGCCUGGUUUUUGUCCAUCACCGACCCCCCCCCCCCCCCCCCCACAGACUUCCCGACAGACCGGAGUCAGUGUGUGCGGCUGGAGAAGAAUGUUUCGGACACUCGGGCUCUUAGCACAGGAUCUCAUUUAGUUUGCGGAUGACACCACCCUCAUCGGACUCAUUUUGGAUGGAGAUGAGUAUGCCUACAGGAGGGAAGUGGACUGGCUGGUGACCUGAGCUCAACGCCCAGAAGACAGUGGAGAUGAUUGUGGACUUCAGGAAAGCCACAGUCCCCCUGCCCUCCCUCAACCUCACCAACUCCCCCAUCACCACUGUGGACUGUUACCGCUUCCUUGGCACCACCAUCACCCAGGACCUCAAGUGGGAGCCAACCAUCAGCUCCCUCAUCAAGAAGGCCCAGUAGAGGAUGUAUUUCUUGUGGCAGCUGAGGAAAGCCAAGCUGCCAGUCCAGCUGAUGGUGCAGUUCUACACGGUCAUCAUCGAAUCCAUCCUAUGCUCCUCCAUCAUGGUUUGGUACACCGGGGCCACUGCCAGGGACAGACACAGACUGCAGCGCAUUGUAGGCUCUGCUGAGAAGGUGAUCAGCUGUAGCCUUCCAUCUCUCCAUGACCUGUACGUCUCCAGGACUCGGGGCCGAGCAGGUCGGAUCACAGCUGACCCUUUUCACCGUGCACAUGGACUAUUUGAGACACUCCCCUCAAGCAGGAGGCUACGGUUCAUUCAGACCAGAACCUCCUGCCAUAAGACCAGUUUCUUCCCCUCUGCCGUUAGACUCAUGAACACUUUAUAACUCAGUCACUUUAACUCUGUCACUUUAUCACUGGUCACUUUAGUUUAAUGUACUUUAGAUUUUUAAUUGCAUUCCUCCCACUGCACUGUAGUUCUAGAUAGUUUAGUUGUACAUAGCUUUUUAUACUUAUUGCACAUAGCAUUGUACAUAAUUGUACAUAUUUUUAUACUUUAUAUAUUUCUUGCAUGCUCUUAUUAGUUUUUAUUCUAGUAUUUUAUAUUUUUCUCUGUUUAUUGUUGCACCAUCAUGCCAAAACAAAUUCCUAGUCUGUGAAUCCUGUUCAUCGACAAUGGCAAUAAAACCCCUUUCUGAGUUCUGAGUUCUAAUAGGUUCUAUAUCUUCACAUUCAGAUUAUUCAAUGACAUUAUAACCACUGAAUGAUUAAAAAUAUUAAAUAAAUGAUUAAAAUAAAAACCAAACAUUUCUAAACUAUUUCUGUUUCUUAGAGUAAAAUUAUUAUUCAUAGUCCAUAGAUUUAACGCUUAAGGUUCAUGAAACAGUCUGGAAAGCUGUUGGUCUAAAGAAACAAAAGAAUAAAGAAUUUAUUCAGUCAGAGUGAUAACUUGGCUUCUGGAGCAUGUAGAAAAAUGGGACACAUUUCAUUUUUUUGUACUGAUUAGUACAUUGCUGAAUGCAUACGAUGUUAUGAUCAGUCAUUUGUAUUCUUUCUCCAAAGGAAUGCUGUUUUUAUCAGUAUAUGGUUGAGCAGGAUUUUAUGACAGAGGUCUGGAGGUCAGUGUCCAGCUCCUCAGACCUUUGGUUGGAUUCCAUGUGCUAACACACUUUACAACAGUAAAUCUCAAAUGGAAGACUUCAUUGAUUAAUGAAUACUGGUUUUAUCUUAUUAGAUGGUCAGUGAUGGAAAAACUCUGUCUGUGUUCUCCAAAUUGACUAAUUUAGAAGAGCCAGAGGUUUAGGUCAACCUUCGGUUGGGUCAGUUAGGUAACCUGAAAGUACAAAAAAGUCUGGAAAGAUUUAUAUUAUCCUGUGUCCUGGGACUAGAUAAGGGACCUUUUCUGUGAGGAAAGUAUGAGUUUCACACACAAGGUUGUCUUGAUGCUACAGCCUUAUUCCUGUGUUGUCAGAUCCGAUGUCUGAAACAUCUCUGAAGCUGAUGGGAUGAAUCCAUCUAAAUGUCUGUUCUUUAAAAGGCUCAAAUCAAACGAUUGACGAGAUUGUGACAGUCUGAAGUUGUUUUAUUGGAGGAAAUGCUACCGAAAUGACGUCAUUUGCCCUGUGUAAAUAGGAUUUAGAUCUAUCUGCGUAUUUUCAGAUGCUUAAGUUAAAGUUUAAACCAGUAUCAGAGUUAAAUUGGUCAAAUCCACCACAUUUAACGUGACAUUAUUAACCUGAGCUCAGAGGUGGCUUUCGAUGCUUUGCUAAGACUCUGUUACAUGGUCAUGUGUAUUUGUGUAUGCAUCGUUUUGCUGUGUCUGUGUUAAUUUGCUCUAACGAUGGCCCUCAUUAGUUCUAAUAAAUCCUCUGACUUUGCCUCCUUCCUCUGGAGCUGACUUUUCUCCAAACAACGCCUGUUAAAUCUCCUGCUUGCAUUUUCAGUGUUUGAUGCCUCCGUUAAUUGGCCAUGAUUCGAGCUUUUUCUUCUGCUUUCGUCGAUGCUCCAAUUCAGUGCAGAGCUAAUGGCAAAUGUCACAGUGAAUUGGCAGCUGCAUUAGCACGGCGGGCGCGUCUUCAUUCUAUUUUUUGUCUGCAGCUCAAUGUAUACAUGACUAUCAUGGAAGGCCAUCCACCUCAUUAAGGGGCCUGGCCAUUAAGACAGGAGCAACAGUUGUGGACAUGAUGUGGGAGCGUCAGGACGAAGAGGAUUGUUUCCCCCUCAGCAGCUCGGGUCAUUAGCUCCAGCUCUGCUCCUCUAAAAUGCUGAUAAUGAUUGACUGUGAGAAUGGAGACGCUGUUUGGGCAGAGAUUAGACAGCAGUGGGACCAUCACACCUAAUUAAGCUGGUUCACCUCAAACAGCCUGACAUUUGGCUCAAAGGUUGAGAGAAAUCCCAUACCCUGAUCAGGAGAACCCAAGCCUUCACCUGAUCAGAUUUCAGGUAACAGAAAGACAUGAAAAUCCAACCUUCAGAGAGAGAAGAUGAAGUUUAUGAGACUAUUGAAAAGAUGCAUAAACAGUUUUUCUCUGAUAUUAUGGUGCAGGUAGGAAAACCUACAACACUACAUUGGUUGUGCUGCACACUCCGGGUUUGCAGAUCCUGAAAAAGUCGACUCAUGUUAGACUUUCCAGACUGAUCAGCAGCUGAAAAAUGGGUAAAAAGACAAAGAGGGGCAUUUAGGGUGGGGGGGUGUUUCAUAGUUCAGAACAUGCUCUACCACAGGAUUCAAUACGAACACACCGGCUGAAGGUGUUGCAGAUUAGCCUGGCUGGGCCAUCCUGUUGCAUGAAUCACUUGAUGUUCCUUCCCACCACAGUCUGGACUUCGGCCCAUAGAGAGCAUGUAUUCCUGAUCAGAAAAUAACCGGGUCAAUCAGAGACCGUGUUUCCACUGUUACCCGGACAACAGGGAAAGGCAGCCCCUGAUUGGUCCAUGUGUAGUGGUGACGUCUAACACAUGCUGCAGGACUUUUCAAAGCCCCGUUCAUUCAGAACGCCGUUAAUUCUGCAGUUGACUUUGCAAAGUCGGCAGAAAUCGUUUAGAUCCGAUCUAAACGAUUAUGUGUUGUGAUUAUGUGUUGCAGGGCCGAAGUCCAGACUGUGGUGGGAAGGAACAUCAAGUGAUUCACGCAACAGGAUGGCCCAACCAGGCUAGUUGCAGAUAGACACUCAGCAGGGGUCUGCAGCUGUG
rnacentral:lncRNA from 1 species